rnacentral:rRNA from 1 species
GACGAACGCUGGCGGCGUGCUUAACACAUGCAAGUCGAGCGGAAAGGCCCUUCGGGGUACUCGAGCGGCGAACGGGUGAGUAACACGUGAGUAACCUGCCCCAGACUUUGGGAUAACCCUCGGAAACGGGGGCUAAUACCGGAUACGACACAGCUUCGCAUGGGGUCUGUGUGGAAAGUUUUUCGGUUUGGGAUGGGCUCGCGGCCUAUCAGCUUGUUGGUGGGGUGAUGGCCUACCAAGGCGACGGGUAGCCGGCCUGAGAGGGCGACCGGCCACACUGGGACUGAGACACGGCCCAGACUCCUACGGGAGGCAGCAGUGGGGAAUAUUGCACAAUGGGCGGAAGCCUGAUGCAGCGACGCCGCGUGAGGGAUGACGGCCUUCGGGUUGUAAACCUCUUUCAGCAGGGACGAAGCGUAAGUGACGGUACCUGCAGAAGAAGCGCCGGCCAACUACGUG